rnacentral:rRNA from 1 species
CCCUUAGAUGUCCUGGGCUGCACGCGCGCUACACUGAUGUGUCCAGUAAGCACCUAACCUCUUCCGAAAGGAACGGGUAACCUUUGCAAAGCACAUCGUGAUGGGGAUAGAUUAUUGCAAUUAUUAGUCGUGAACGAGGAAUUCCUAGUAAGCACAAGUCAUCAGCUUGUGUUGAUUACGUCCCUGCCCUUUGUACACACCGCCCGUCGCUCCUACCGAUUGAAUGUUCCGGUGAGCUCUUCGGACUGCGCGGUCUGCAGUUUCUGCGUUCCGUGCGGAAAGUUGCGCAAACCUUAACAUUUAGAGGAAGGAGAAGUCGUAACA